CCUACGGGUGGCAGCAGUGGGGAAUAUUGGGCAAUGGGCGCAAGCCUGACCCAGCAACGCCGCGUGAAGGAAGAAGGCUUUCGGGUUGUAAACUUCUUUUGUCAGGGACGAAGCAAGUGACGGUACCUGACGAAUAAGCCACGGCUAACUACGUGCCAGCAGCCGCGGUAAUACGUAGGUGGCAAGCGUUAUCCGGAUUUACUGGGUGUAAAGGGCGUGUAGGCGGGACUGCAAGUCAGAUGUGAAAACCACGGGCUCAACCUGUGGCCUGCAUUUGAAACUGUAGUUCUUGAGUUCACAACAGGCAGGCGGAAUUCGUGGUGUAGCGGUGAAAUGCAUAGAUAUCACGAGGAACCCCGAUUGCGAAGGCAGCCUGCCGGGGUGCGACUGACGCUGAGGCUCGAAGGUGCGGGUAUCAAACAGGAUUAGAUACCCGUGUAGUC
rnacentral:rRNA from 1 species